GUGGGGAAUAUUGGUCAAUGGGGGCAACCCUGAACCAGCCAUGCCGCGUGAAGGAUGAAGGCGUUAUGCGUUGUAAACUUCUUUUGUAUGGGAAGAAUGACAGGGAUUCAUCCUUGGAGAGACGGUACCAUACGAAUAAGCACCGGCUAACUCCGUGCCAGCAGCCGCGGUAAUACGGAGGGUGCAAGCGUUAUCCGGAAUCACUGGGUUCAAAGGGUACGUAGGUGGUUAAUUAAGUCAGUAGUGAAAGACUGUCGCUCAACUACGGAUGUGCUAUUGAUACUGGUUAACGUGAAUCAGGUUAGAGUUGUCGGAAUGGGUCAUGUAGCGGUGAAAUGCUUAGAUAUGACUUGGAACACCGAUAGCGAAGGCAGCUGACUGAGCCUUGAUUGACGCUGAGGUACGAAAGUGUGGGUAGCGAACAGGAUUAGAAACCCGGGUAGUCC
rnacentral:rRNA from 1 species